UAGCAAUACAGUGGAAAGUCUAGUGGCGAACGGGUGCUUAACACGUGGGCAAUCUGUCUUAAAGUGGGGGAUAGCUCGGCGAAAGCCGAAUUAAUACCGCAUGUGAUCAGAGUGGACAUCCAUUCCAAAUCAAAGUCGGCGCAAGCUGACGCUUUUAGAGGAGCCGGCGGCCUAUCAGCUAGUUGGUGAGGUAACGGCCCACCAAGGCUUUGACGGGUAGCUGGUCUGAGAGGACGACCAGCCACACUGGGACUGAGACACGGCCCAGACACCUACGGGUGGCAGCAGUCGAGAAUUUUUCUCAAUGGGGGAAACCCUGAAGGAGCGACGCCGCGUGGAGGAUGAAGGUCUUCGGAUUGUAAACUCCUGUCAUUGGGGAACAAUGCGUGACGGUUAACUGCCGUUGCGUUGAUAGUACCCGAAGAGGAAGAGACGGCUAACUCUGUGCCAGCAGCCGCGGUAAUACAGAGGUCUCAAGCGUUGUUCGGAUUCAUUGGGCGUAAAGGGUGCGUAGGCGGCGCGGUAAGUCGGGUGUGAAAUCUUGGAGCUUAACUCCGAAACUGCAUUCGAUACUGCCGUGCUUGAGGACUGGAGAGGAGACUGGAAUUCUCGGUGUAGCA
rnacentral:rRNA from 1 species